rnacentral:lncRNA from 1 species
GGGUCCCAUGAUAAAGGGAAGAGUAAGGGAGAUGAAAAAAAAGGCAAUUAUCAAUUAUCUUUAGUGUUCUUCAAGCACAAGCCACUUUAUUCAACUUUAAACCAUUACUAAUUUAGAGCAAUUAGGCCACUUUACACGUUGAGGUUGUUUUGACUUUGAGCAUUGGGCAGCCACAGCUCAACCACCUCAUGUUAUCUUGUUGACUGAUCUCACUUGAUUCUUAAGAUGACAGUGCCUCAACUCUGAAGCUAGCUACUUCAUCAUUACACGAACCAAUGUGCACGCAGCAGGUUCGAACUUAGUAGGAAUGCCCCUGUCUAGCUAGGUGGUACAACUUUGAGCACUGGAUUGCUCUCAAAGAAAUUGGACGGCCGCAGCUCAAACCCACCAUUGAAUGUAGGCAUCACAGGAAAAUCUUCUUGACAAGGCACAUGAUGGAAUCCCAAUGUGUACCAUAGCACUAUGUCCUUAUUCUCUAUGCUUCUGUUCCUGCAUUAACAUUGAAAAAAUAUCAACCUUGUAAUAAAUUAAUCUCACCACGAUCAAUUAAGGGUGCAUGAUGCAUUAAUCUUUUUGACGAGGCAAAUGAUGCAUUGUGUUUACAUUUGCAUUAAGUGGGCUUUUACCUUUUGCUCCAUACAGAUAAGGUGUCAUCCCCACGGCUUUGAUCAGCAUAAAGCCCACCAGCCCAUUUCUCAGAAAUGUUAUAUGCGGUGACCCACGCAUUGUAGUUAGUGAACGCCGCUCUGAUUUGUGGGUAAUCAUCGUCUGAUAAGAGGGGACCGACCACCCCGUAUGGAACCAGACGGUAACCAAUGAGGUUCCCUACCUUGGUCUUCUUAUUAGGAUUAACAAAUAGCAAAUCAACCGGUUCUGAUCCAAGCUUAAUCCUUGCGUCAGAUUCUGUUCUGGCAGUCUCACUAUCAACCGUCCAAUAACUCUUUCUCGGUGAUCCAUGAUCAUUGACUCUGACUGUCCGCAAUUUAGACUUGACAAAGGAGUUAGCAUCACCGUCCACGUCAAGAUCAAGACGGUAGAUUAGGAAGUGAUCAUGGCGUACACCAAUUGUAUUUUCUGCGAUCAAUGCGCCGUAAACAUCCUCCUCUAUUUGAUCUUUGUGGGUGUAGUUUGUUCCCCUCACUUCCAGCAUCCCAGUUAGCCCAACCUGCAUGAACAUCAAAUAAUAAAACAUAAUCGCAUAAUUUCAUUUCAAUAAUUCAUUUAUUAUUUUAAAAACUAAAUAACAUUAGUUUUCAAGAAAUAUAAGGUAUCUACCUAUUGUACAAUCUUACAAAUAUCUGCAUCAAAUUGAAUUUUAUAUACCGUGACUUUGAUGGAGCCACUCUGCUUAAAUUCCCAAUCAUUGAUAUAAUCAUAGUUGCCCACCGUCGAUACCGUUCGCACCACCAAGCUGACCUCUGGCCUAACCUCUCUUAUCUACAUUUUUAUUUUUAUUUUUUCAAAAAUAAUCGUUAAAACUAGAGUCUAGAAGUAGAACCAUAUAUUUUCAAGAAACAAAAGUAUAUAUGUAUUCACGUACCAGUUUCUCCGGAUCGGUAGCUUCAGUGUGACGCCACAUGACGUCUCCGGCAUAACGUUCGAAGAUGCAAAAAACGUUAGGCAUUUUCAGGGGCAUCCCAUCAUUCUUAGCAAAAUACGCGUCCAUGAAGACAGCAUUCGGUGGGCAGUCUCUGAGAGGCUGAAGCGGCAGCGAGCUUAAACCGUAGCCGUAUUCGCCCACAUCAAAGAAGCUUCGGUAGUACCAUUCCUCUGUUAGAUCCAUGUAUGGCACGAACAGCUCCGAUACAUGCCCUUUGUAUAACACUUGACGAGAUUGUUGCUUCUCUGGAUCGUAUAUUGAUGCCACUGAUAUUAUCAUUCCUGCUCUAGCAUCGAAACUUAGAUGAAACUCCCAGUCGGCCCACCUUAUUUAUAAUUAAUUGUAAGUACCAAAUGAACAUAUUUAAUAUUGAAUUAAUUAUAGAGUCUGACGUAUAUUAAAAUUGUGAAUUCUAAUGUUUCAAUUAGUCUACCAGUUAUCCAUUUGCAAUAAGAUUAAAAUACCCACCCAUUCAGUAAAUAUUUCUUGUAUUAUUACUCGAAAUCGGCUGCGCCCAUGAGCUGCUUAUAAAUUUAGGGUGCGUUUAGGAUAGACGUUGGGUACAACACUAAAGUGUUUAGUAAACACUAACUGCUGUAACUUGAAAACUAUAUUAAUAAAAAUUUUCACUUGUAUGAUGAAAGAUUUAUUAUAUCUUUAAUAAUUUUGUCAAAAUUAUUACUUUAAAUUUAUAUUUAUUAUAUAUUAUUAACUUUUAUUUCAUAGUUACAGAUUUUUUUUCACAGCAGCUGUAACUUAAAAGUUACAACACCUCAAUCCCAAACACACCCUUAAACUAGUAGAAAAUAUUGGUUGUUACUGAUUGCGUUAAACUUAUUGCAUAAGACGUUAACCUUUGCAUAUGAAAAAUGUUAAUAAGACGAGGCACUGAAAUAAACAGUGAAAAAUUCGAAUUGGUUAACACUAGCUUAUGGUCAUGUUUGAGAUUGAGGUACUGUAACUUUUAAGUUAUAGUUGUUAAAGAAAAAAUUUGUACCUAUGAAACAAAAAUUAAUAAUAUGUAGUAAAUAUAAAUUUUAAAUAAUAAUUUUGAUAAAAUUAUUAAAGAUAUAAUAAAUUUUCUGUUAUACAAGUGAAAAAUCUUAUCAACAUAACUUCCAAAAUACAGCAGUUAGUGUUUACCAAAUAUUUUAGUGAUGUAACUUUUAAGUUACAGCUGCCAAACCUCAAUUUCAAACACACCUUAUAUAUUGGUAAUGCAUAUAAUUAUUCUUUGUAUAUUAGAGAAUUAUUAUCCUCUGAUGAAUAUCUAUGUUGAGACCAAAUGAGGGGGGGGGGGGGCAUGUAAUUAAAUAAAUGAAGUGACUAGGAUAUAAGAAAUGUAGUAAUUAUAUAUUUAAAUUUGAUUUAAAUUUUAAAAUAUAUAUUAUUCUAAUUCAUAAAGAGUGGCUAGUAAAUAAGAAUAUACAAAUAGUCAAAUUAUAUAAGUACAAAAUCUUAAGAAAAAAUAAAUAGAAAAGAGAGAAAAGUGUUAUGCUAAAAAGAUCAUGGGGCUGAUUUAUGGUUCCAUCAUGACUGUAUCGAGGUUUUACACCCUCCUUCUGUUUUGCCUUAGUUUUCAUUAGGCACAUUUAUGUAUCAAAAGGAAAAAAAAAAAUCACGGGGCUAGUAAAAAUAGGAUAAAACAAAUUCAUCUUUUUUUUAAUUACUUUUAAAUUAAAUAUGUAAAAAUGACACCGAUUUUAUUUUAUUUCUGUCAGCAUCCUAUCAAAACUUUUUGUCUAAAAUAUGGCUCAUGAGUGAAAAUAAUUGGUUACCUGAUCUGACUUCCGACGAUAUUGAAACUUGGGCCGUCCGGUUGAACCACCGUAGUCCUCUUCAAGCUCGGCCUGAAAGGAGGCUUCAACUUAGAUUCUCUAUAUUCAGUCCCAUCACUUUUUGGUACAGGGACAAUAAUUCUAUCACGAAACUGAAUGAUCUUCAUCUCAUCGAGAUCAACGGUCAUAGUAAUUCCCUCGAUCGGCCUCAUGUCAGCAUUCAGUGUCCCAUCCAAAUAAUAACACAUCAUCUUAACAAUCCUCUUAUUCUUCCUCUCCUCCCCAAACCAUCCAACAGUAAAACUCCCGCACACCACCUCUUCGAGCUUAAGCCCUCUCUUGCUAAUCGAGGCCACGAACAGCGGGUAAGUGGACGCCAACUUGUUUGCAUCCUCUUGUUCUUCCUCAGUAAGCAAAGGGUAGCCAUAGCCGUUGUAAGUCUGUUUGGACGUAAUUUCUUGCAGCGAUAAGUCCACGAUGAUCUCGUGCGUUUGAUGGUCUAUACGUGCGACAACAAAGGCUUGGCGAGGUGGGUGUGUGGUGGUUUCGUUUCUGAGCCAUGAGAGAACUGUUUGUUUGGUUGGUUCUUCUAAGCCUACAUAUUGAAAGGUUAAGUUGUGGGUUGAUUUGGGGUAAGCCUUUGUGACAAUGCUUCGGAUUUGAAUGAAUUCCGAUGGAGUUAAGGAGUCGAGUGGGUGGUACUGGUGGCUGGGAAUGAGGAAGAAAAUGUGAAGAAGAAGGGCGAAAAGGAUGGUUUUGGAAGUAGCAACCAUUGUUAGUUAACAAGUGGUAUGGUUCUGUGCAUGGCUAACUAUUUUAGAAGGAAUUUGGAUACUGAUUUUAUUUUAUUUUUUUAAUGAUAGAAGCCACGUCAUUCAUGUAUUGAUCUUCACGGUUGAAAAUAAGUGUGAAUCUACCAAUAAGCGCAUAGAUCAGCUGGGCUAUUCUAAUUUAACCAAGAUCUUCGAUUCGAAGCUUAGAAAUGCAGUUGCGUUGAAUACUUGUUGGGAGAGUUUUACUACCUUAGUGGUCCUACUCAACUCGAAUAUAGAUUAGUCGAGGGCCAAUAUGGUCUUCGCAUAUCAGAUAGUUUAAUACACCAAAAAGAAAAUAAGUGUGAAUCCAUCCCUAUAUUUAAUUACCUAUAUAAUCAUAUGCAAUAAUCAUUGUCAAAAAAUUUCUAAAAAUUUAACUUAAAAAGUUUUCACAGGUUUCCUUAUAAUUUGAAUUUUUAUUUGAGCAAAUAAAAUUAUGUGAUUGGUAGCUAUUAAAUAGAAAUAAAUAAAGAAAUAAAUAUUGACUAUUCAAAAUAGAAAUGCAUAUAUGUCAAAAAAUUCUUUAAAACUCGGAUAACUUCAAAUUAUGACAGGAUGUGUCCAAUUCCUUCCAUUGAAUCCUUGAUGAUUUAAAUCAUAAAAAAAAAAUUAUAUACAAGUAAAAUCAAUGUUAUAGAUUUUAAAUAAAAUAAUUAGAUAAGAAUAUUUUCUAGAAAAUAAUUUAAUGAGUCCAUUCUGAAUUAUUAGAUUAAACACCAAGCUAAAAAAAAAAAUUAUGGUUUCUAAAAUUGUGAUCAAUCACCCGGUUAGCCCUUAUAUUUUAAAUAAUUACUCAAAACAAUUUUGUUGUUACUUUUUAUAGGUGUUGGAUUAAAGUUUCAAGGUUUUUCUAGCUAUUAUAAUGUAAAAAUUCAAAUAAAUAUAAUAUGCAACUAAUGAAAAAUACAGAAUAAUUAAAUAAAUUUAAAUAAAAAUAAAGGUAUAAUUUAGAUAUUUUAAAUAAUUUUUAACAAUAUGUGGACUAAAAAAAUAAUUAACUCAAACCUCAAGAGCUAGAGUAGCAAUUACCCACUUAAUACCAAUCAACGGUUGGUGGUUUGUGGGGUAGAAGAGGAUGUGUGAUUAAAGUAAUAAUUAUCUGUUCACUGAUCGAAUGCAAAUUAAUUGGUAAUAAAAUAAAGUAGCAGCCUAGCAGAGUAGCAGGUUAUUGGCUGAUGGAAUCUUUCUGCCGGCUGCACUGUCCAUAACACUGGACGGGUCCAAUAUAGGAUCAGCUUGGGGCCGUGCCCGAGCUAGCUUUUGAAAACGUUUUUCUACGAUUAUUAGGAAAUAUAUAUUUUAUUUAUUAUUUAAGAGUUUAAAUAUUUUUGCAUUAUAUAAAAUUUUUUAUUAUUAAAAGAUUUUAAAAAUAAAUUAAGUGAUAAUAAAAAAGACAUUUUUGAUUGUAUUGAUAAUGAAAUUUAUUUUACAUCUUUUUUAACACAUUAAAUACUAUUAAAGAAUCUUUGACGAGAACAAUUGUAAUAAGUAAAUUUAUUAUCAACGUAUAUUUUAGUUGCAAUGUUAUAUAUUUUUAUCUAAAAUUUUAAACUUGUGUUAUACUUAAAAUGGAGUAUUGAUCAUGUUCAUGCAGUUAUACAAUUUAUAAAGCACGAUAAGGCACAUAACAAGCUCCUAUUUGGAGAUUGUGGGGCCCACAACACAGCUCCCGAAAUGCGAACUUGACGCGCUUGCAAUUGCGCACCUAAUUCAAUUUUAAAUAUAUCUCAACUCAAUCAAAAUCAUUACUAUGUCCCUCGUCCGUAAUACUCAUAUAAUACUUCCAACAAGAAUUGUGACAAUGUGAGCAAAAUGAAUUUUCACUAACUCUCAUAUUUGAGGCUCAACAUCAAUCGAUCAGUGAAAAUUUUAAUGUAUUGUUUGGAGAAAAAUUUAUCAAUGAAAGUAUGAAAUAUUAUUAUCGUGUUAAUUUUGCAUGAGUGUUGUAAAAUGAUAACGUAUUCUUUCACCAAAUAUUCAAAAUUUGACAAAGAAUGGAGCUACAAGCCCCCCACAAUAAUCUCAUAAAACCUAUAUUCUGAAUGCACCCAUUAAUUAAAGUACUAAAAUUACUUUUUUACUAAUAAUAUUCAUUUUAAUUCCUCAAAUCGCCCAAUCUUCUUCAUUCUCAUCGAACCCAAAAAUAAUUUAUUUUUAAAUCUCAUGACUAAUAGUAAAUUCGGUUAGAUAUAGCACUCAAUAAAAGCAAUAAGGCACCAUGACUAAUAAACUUACACUUUUCCUUAAUGAAAGUAUCAAAAACCCAUUUGAUUGCUAUUCUGCGUGUGUAAGGGAAAAAUAUAUUUAUGCCUCUUUUGCAUAGGUUUGUUGUUUUAUGGCUCAAUUUUUAUUAUUAUUAUUAUUUGGGAAAAAAAAUUGGCUUCUUAAUAAUAUAGGGGUGUAAAGAGUUCUUAUAAUUUAUUUUGAUUUGAAUUAGAGAUCAUGUAAUUUCAACCAAGGUUAAAUGUGUAAAUGCAUAGUAGUGGAGUUUUAUAAGAACUUUUGAGGGGUACCAAUAGUAUCACUGUUUGACAAAUUUCGUCUUUACAAAACUAAUUAACUGUGAGACUAUAUAAAAAAUAUUCUUAUUUUUUUUAAUUGAAGAAACACAAAUUUCAUUCCACAUAUAUACAUACAUAUAUAUAUACAUAUAUAUAUAUAUGUAUACAUAUAUGUAUACAUAUAUGUAUAUAUAUAUAUAUAUAUAUAUGUAUAUAUAUAUAUAUGUAUAUAUAUAUAUAUAUAUAUAUAUAUAUAUAUAUAUAUAUAUAUAUAUACAUAUAUAUAUAUAUACAUAUAUAUGUAUAUAUAUAUAUAUAAAGUUAGGACUUGAGGAGGUGAUGUGGCAUCACUAUUUUUUAUCUUUGUAUAUUCUCUAUUAUCUAAUAAAUAGAGAAAUUUUCUUUUAAAUUUGACUUUUCAUCUUAUCAUAAUUAAUGUGAUUGUUAUUACACAAUAACAAUUAUGUAAAGAUUUUAAUGAGAGGGAGUGUUAUGAAUUUAUUAAAAUAAAUUUGGAUGUUCAUAACAUAUAUCUUUUAGUCUCUCACCAUCUCCCAUUAGCAACCUUUAACUUCCCUAUAACUCUCACUAUCUCACAAUGAAUUAUGAUCCAUAAUUUUUCAUUAAUUUCAUGGAGUGAUUAUGUAACUAUAAAAGGAGAGCUCAUCUUUUUGUUUUGUACACACACAAUUGGAAUGAAUAAAAUCACUCUAUAAUAUAUUCUCUCAUUUUAUUCUUUAUCUUGCGUUGCUUUUUUAUUUGUAUUGCUGGCUAAUAACUUUUUUUGUUUUUUAUAAGGCUGUCUCAUCUUAAAAAAAAAUCAAUUCAUAUUUUUUAUCAGUUUCAUCAAGUGUAAAGUAAGAAAAAAUGAUAAUACUAAAUUUUUUUUUCAAAGCCGUGUGAAGCAUGGUUUUAUUUUUUAGUAUAUAUAUAAAGUUGAGACUACAAGAGGCGAUGUGACAUCACUAUUUCUCAUCUUAUUAUAUUCUCAAUUAUCUAAUAUAUUGGUUGAGAUUAAAAAAUAAUUACAUUACAAAAUAUUAAAAAUAGAAAAUAAUUAUUAGAUUACAAAAUAUUACAUGUCUCUUCCUCUUUCUAUUUAAAUUCAACAAUAUGUAACCAUUAAUAAUAAUUAAUUAUAAGUCUUGAAACAUUCAUUUAUUUUAUUAUGCCAACAAUUAAAUUUUAGUGGUUUAAAAUACAUCAAUUAAUUAAUAAAGAAGGAAAAUUCCUUCAUUUUCCCUCAAUAAUGUCAUUAGAGCCUAAUUUUAAUGUCAUAAUCACAUAUUUAAUUAUGCAACAUUUUUUUAGUGCCUUUUGACUUCUUCAAAUUCUAUAAACAUUAAGUAUUUAAGAUUUGUGGCAUCAUUAUUUCUCAUCUUUUUAUAUUCUAUAUUAUCUAACAUAUUGGUUGAGAUUAAAAAAUAAAUAAUUACAUUACAAAUUAUUAAAAAUAGAAAAUAAUUAUUAGAUUAUAAAAUAUUACAUGUCUCUUCCUCUUUCUAUUUAAAUUCAACAAUAUGUAACCAUUAAUAAUAAUUAAUUAUAAGUUUUGAAAUGUUCAUUUAUUUUAUUAAGCAAACAACUAAACUUUAAUAGCUUAAAAUACAUCAAAUAAUUAAUAUAGGAAGGAAGGUUCAUUCAUCUUCCCUCACCAAUGCCACUAUGGCCUAAUUUUAAUGUCAUAAUCUCAUAUUUAAUUAUGCAACAUUUUGUUUAGUGUCUUUUGGUUUCUUCAAAUUUUAUAAACAUUAAGUAUUUAAGAUUUGUAUGUUUGGAUUUUUUUUAAUUAUUUAACCAACAUCCUCUUUAGAAAUAUUCUUAUAUUUUUAUUUUUAGUAUUGUGUGUUUCAUAGAGUACUCUUUUUUUCAUGAUUUGAACAAUAAUAAAGAUAGUUGGAUGAUAAGGGUUAGGUUUUGUAUGAUAUGGGAGUCUGUUAAUUUUAAGAAGAAUGGAGAAUUGAUUAGUGUGAACAUGAUUUUUAUUGAUGAAAAUGUUAUAUAAAAAAUUCAUUCUCCCAUUAUUUUCUCUAAUUUUUCCCCCCAAUUGUUUUAAACUUAAUGUAGCAUGUUUUUUUUCGUAGGAAAAUCUAAUACAUGCAACAAUCAAGAAAAAAUUAGUAACAAGGUUUAGGCACAUAUUGAGUGAGAGUUCUUUGUACAUUAUAAAGAAUUUGAAAGUUGUUUCAAUUACAGGCGAGUACAGACCACUUUCAAAUCAUUAUAAGAUUAUUUUCUUGGUUAUAAUUUUGCUUAAAAGGUUAUAAGAAAGAAUUGUUAAGAUUCCUAUCAAUGGAUUCCAAUUUAUAUCUCCGAAUUUAAUUGAUAUACAUGUGAAUGAUAACACAAUCUUCUCAGGUAUUUUUUUUAAUUAUUAAUGUUUGUUAAUCUUUAAGUGUAUAUUAGAAAUUAUUGAUCCUUAUGUUUUAACAUAUUUAUGUUAUUUUUCCAUAAUAUUAUAUAUGUUGUUGGGAGUUUAUGGGGUGUGGGUGAUAUUGAGAUCGUUAGAGCUGGUUGGAAAAAAAGAGAUAUAAAAGUUCUAACAGAUUAGCAAGUUGAAUAUAAUUUGGAACUUAUCAACAACUACAAAAAGUAUAAGGUUUAUACACUUACACUAUACACAUUAAUAUAUAUUUUUUAAGUUAACAAAAAAAUAAUUAACUUUCAUAAAUAACAUUAGUUUUAUAAGGCUGCUUCAUCUUAAAAAAAAUCAAUUCAUAUUUUUAUCAGUUUCAUCAAGUGCAAAGUAAGAAAAAAAGAUGAUACUAAAUUCUUUUUCCAAAGCCGCGCGAAUCGCAAUUCUAUUUCCUAGUUAAAUACAUAAGCAUAAAGCAACAAGAGUUAUUAAGUCAAUUGUAGUUGUAGACAAUUAAAUCAAUUUAUGAUUAAAGAUACUAUUUAUAUAUGUGUAAGGUUAUUUGAACCCACAAAACUACUCAUUAAAUUUAUUUUUAAAAGUAGUUUUUUAUGAUUAAAAUACUCUUAAAUUAAAUUACAAUCAUGGACAUUAAAAUAUAGUUAAAAAAAUUUACUCUUUGAACACAUCUUUACAUUCAACAUAAUUUUUUUAAACCCUAAUCAUAUUUUUAUUAAAUUCUAAUCAACUAGAGGCGUGAUUUUUCUUUCAAAGUACAUAUUUUUGUUAAUAAGGCACAUGCGAUUAGGUUCAAGAUAAUAAAGUUGGUGGUUAUAUCUUUAUUUGCCUUUGACGGUGGGCAACAACCAACGACAAGUAGUGUUGUUGAAAAACUUCUCUAAACUACUUCUUUGCACUUCAGCCCCGAUCGCCAUCAAAAGCUGCGGCGAAAUAUUUAGAAAGUUCCCAGGUAAAAACGUUUGGGAAUUGCCACUCAUAUAAUUUUCUUGACAACCAAACGAGGGAUUUGAUCGACGAAGAAACAUGGAGAUAUGCUUAUCGAUUUCUCUAUGAAGCUUCUCACGCCGUCUUCAUUUGAAAAUAUUAAAGAAAUUGCUUUCAGAACCAUGGCCUCUGCUUCAAAGACUGAGAUCAAGAAGGUUCUAGAGUCAUUGUGUGGUCUCAAAAUUGAGAAGGUAAGAACGCUGAAAAAAAAAAGAUGACCCUUGGUUGUUAGACCAAAUUAGAAGAAAGCCUACAUAACUAUGAAGAAGCCAGUAUCAUUUGCCUUUUGAUAUGCCUUUUUCAGAACCUAAGGAUCUUGAAUAAAUGAAAAUUUUAAAGUACAUAAAAUGUCAAAUAUUUUUGUUGAAGAGAUUGUAUUUACACAUUUUAAGCAAAUGUCGGCAAUCAAGAAUUUUUUCAACAAUGAUUUUUUUCCCGCAUUUUCUAAAAAGUAGAGUAUGAAAACAAGAGUAAUUAAAAAAAAGACAAAAAUGUUGUAGCCGUUGAUAUAAGUGAUUCUUUUUUAUGUUGGUGAUUACUGCAGAAGUAAUGAUAGGAAUAGAUAUUGUUUGUUUGUUACCUCCAUGAAGAAUUUGAAUAAUCUACAUCUUAAAUCAAGGCUGAGACAUUGUUAAAUGGGGUAAAAUGGGAUGAAAAGGUCUGAUAGUUACUAAUGGUACUAUAAUAAAUUUCUUUUUGAAAAAAAAAUAAUAAUAAGGAUGAAUAUGUGUUGUAACUGUAUUUUUCAAGAUUAUAUUAAUAAAGAAAAUCUUCAGUUUAGUGGGGGAAAAACAUUCGUUAAGAGUUUAUAAAUGAAUUUAAUGGGUUUUAUAAGUAAAGACACUAUUUAUUAUAAAAAUUAAGUUUAAUAAGGAUAUAUUGGAUAUUUAAGUGAGUUUAUUAAGUAAAAUUUAAAAUUUUAAAAUUUAAGCGUAGAAUUAUUUAAUAAAUGAGUUUAUUAAAUAAUUUAGGGAGUUCAAAUAACCUCACCCUUAUAAUAUAUAUCUCCACUCACUCCACCACACACAUCGCUCGAUGUUUAUGGAGAAAACUCCUCUUUAGGUUGUUUAACUUUGAGCACAGGAUUGCUCUCAAAGAAAUUGGAUGGCCGCAGCUCAAACCCAC